GACGAACGCUGGCGGCGUGCUUAACACAUGCAAGUCGAGCGGUAAGGCCCUUUCGGGGGUACACGAGCGGCGAACGGGUGAGUAACACGUGGGUGACCUGCCCUCAGCUCUGGGAUAAGCCUGGGAAACCGGGUCUAAUACUGGAUAUGACUCCAUGACGCAUGUUGUGGGGUGGAAAGCCUUGUGCGGCUGAGGAUGGGCCCGCGGCCUAUCAGCUUGUUGGUGGGGUGANGGCCUACCAAGGCGACGACGGGUAGCCGGCCUGAGAGGGCGACCGGCCACACUGGGACUGAGACACGGCCCAGACUCCUACGGGAGGCAGCAGUGGGGAAUAUUGGACAAUGGGCGCAAGCCUGAUCCAGCGAUGCCGCGUGUGUGAAGAAGGCCUGCGGGGUUGUAAAGCACUUUCAGUAGGGAAGAAAAGCCGAGUGCUAAUAUCACUCGGUCUUG
rnacentral:rRNA from 1 species